rnacentral:rRNA from 1 species
GAUGAACGCUGGCGGCGUGCCUAAUACAUGCAAGUCGAGCGAACAGACGAGGAGCUUGCUCCUCUGACGUUAGCGGCGGACGGGUGAGUAACACGUGGAUAACCUACCUAUAAGACUGGGAUAACUUCGGGAAACCGGAGCUAAUACCGGAUAAUAUAUUGAACCGCAUGGUUCAAUAGUGAAAUACGGUUUUGCUGUCACUUAUAGAUGGAUCCGCGCCGCAUUAGCUAGUUGGUAAGGUAACGGCUUACCAAGGCGACGAUGCGUAGCCGACCUGAGAGGGUGAUCGGCCACACUGGAACUGAGACACGGUCCAGACUCCUACGGGAGGCAGCAGUAGGGAAUCUUCCGCAAUGGGCGAAAGGCUGACGGAGCAACGCCGCGUGAGUGAUGAAGGUCUUCGGAUCGUAAAACUCUGUUAUUAGGGAAGAACAAAUGUGUAAGUAACUAUGCACGUCUUGACGGUACCUAAUCAGAAAGCCACGGCUAACUACGUG